rnacentral:rRNA from 1 species
UCCAGGCAAAUCCGGAUAAUCAAGGCUGAGGUGUGAUGACGAGGCACUACGGUGCUGAAGUAACAAAUGCCCUGCUUCCAGGAAAAGCCUCUAAGCAUCAGGUAACAUCAAAUCGUACCCCAAACCGACACAGGUGGUCAGGUAGAGAAUACCAAGGCGCUUGAGAGAACUCGGGUGAAGGAACUAGGCAAAAUGGUGCCGUAACUUCGGGAGAAGGCACGCUGGUGUGUAGGUGAAGCCCCUGCGGGUGGAGCUGAGACCAGUCGAAGAUACCAGCUGGCUGCAACUGUUUAUUAAAAACACAGCACUGUGCAAACACGAAAGUGGACGUAUACGGUGUGACGCCUGCCCGGUGCCGGAAGGUUAAUUGAUGGGGUUAUCCGUAAGGAGAAGCUCUUGAUCGAAGCCCCGGUAAACGGCGGCCGUAACUAUAACGGUCCUAAGGUAGCGAAAUUCCUUGUCGGGUAAGUUCCGACCUGCACGAAUGGCGUAAUGAUGGCCAGGCUGUCUCCACCCGAGACUCAGUGAAAUUGAACUCGCUGUGAAGAUGCAGUGUACCCGCGGCAAGACGGAAAGACCCCGUGAACCUUUACUAUAGCUUGACACUGAACAUUGAGCCUUGAUGUGUAGGAUAGGUGGGAGGCUUUGAAGCGUGGACGCCAGUCUGCGUGGAGCCAACCUUGAAAUACCACCCUUUAAUGUUUGAUGUUCUAACGUUGGCCCCUGACCGGGGUUGCGGACAGUGUCUGGUGGGUAGUUUGACUGGGGCGGUCUCCUCCCAAAGCGUAACGGAGGAGCACGAAGGUUAGCUAAUCCUGGUCGGACAUCAGGAGGUUAGUGCAAUGGCAUAAGCUAGCUUGACUGCGAGCGUGACGGCGCGAGCAGGUGCGAAAGCAGGUCAUAGUGAUCCGGUGGUUCUGAAUGGAAGGGCCAUCGCUCAACGGAUAAAAGGUACUCCGGGGAUAACAGGCUGAUACCGCCCAAGAGUUCAUAUCGACGGCGGUGUUUGGCACCUCGAUGUCGGCUCAUCACAUCCUGGGGCUGAAGUAGGUCCCAAGGGUAUGGCUGUUCGCCAUUUAAAGUGGUACGCGAGCUGGGUUUAGAACGUCGUGAGACAGUUCGGUCCCUAUCUGCCGUGGGCGCUGGAGAAUUGAGGGGGGCUGCUCCUAGUACGAGAGGACCGGAGUGGACGCAUCACUGGUGUUCGGGUUGUCAUGCCAAUGGCACUGCCCGGUAGCUAAAUGCGGAAGAGAUAAGUGCUGAAAGCAUCUAAGCACGAAACUUGCCCCGAGAUGAGUUCUCCCUGAGACUAUAAGUCUCCUGAAGGAACGUUAAAGACGAUGACGUUGAUAGGCCGGGUGUGUAAGCGCAGCGAUGCGUUGAGCUAACCGGUACUAAUGAACCGUGAGGCUUAACC